rnacentral:rRNA from 1 species
UACGUAGGGUGCGAGCGUUGUCCGGAAUUAUUGGGCGUAAAGAGCUCGUAGGCGGUGUGUCACGUCGGCCGUGAAAACCUGCAGCUUAACUGUGGGCGUGCGGUCGAUACGGGCAUCACUGGAGUUCGGCAGGGGAGACUGGAAUUCCUGGUGUAGCGGUGAAAUGCGCAGAUAUCAGGAGGAACACCGGUGGCGAAGGCGGGUCUCUGGGCCGAUACUGACGCUGAGGAGCGAAAGCGUGGGGAGCAAACAGGAUUAGAACCGUACCGAGUC